GGAGUUAGCCGGUGCUUCUUCUGUGAGUGAUGUCCUUCCUGCCGGCUAUUAACCCGCAGGCCUUCUUCCUCACUGAAAGUGCUUUACAACCCGAAGGCCUUCUUCACACACGCGGCAUGGCUGGAUCAGGGUUGCCCCCAUUGUCCAAUAUUCCCCACUGCUGCCUCCCGUAGGAGUCUGGGCCGUGUCUCAGUCCCAGUGUGGCUGAUCAUCCUCUCAGACCAGCUACGGAUCGUCGCCUUGGUGAGCCGUUACCUCACCAACCAGCUAAUCCGACAUAGGCUCAUCCGAUAGCGCGAGGCCCGAAGGUCCCCCGCUUUCCCCCGUAGGGCGUAUGCGGUAUUAGCCUGGGUUUCCCCAGGUUAUCCCCCGACUACCGGGCAGAUUCCUAUGCAUUACUCACCCGUCCGCCGCUCGCCACCAGGGAGCAAGCUCCCCGUGCUGCCGCUCGACUUGCAUGUGUUAGGCCUGCCGCCAGCGUUCAAUCUGAGCCAGAAUCGAACCCUGA
rnacentral:rRNA from 1 species